rnacentral:rRNA from 1 species
GGAAGGAUCAUUCACAAUGAGUGUUUUAUGGCACUCUUUAAAAAUCCAUAUCCACCUUGUGUGCAAUGUUUGUUGGGAGAGAGGCAACUCUUUCCCUUCACAAAUAUCAACCUAUAUCUUUAACAACAUUCGUCUGAUAACAUAUUAUGAAUAUACUUAAUUCAAAAUAUAACUUUCAACAACGGAUCUCUUGGCUCUCGCAUCGAUGAAGAACGCAGCGAAAUGCGAUACGUAAUGUGAAUUGCAGAAUUCAGUGAAUCAUCGAAUCUUUGAACGCAUAUUGCGCUCUUUGGUAUUCCGAAGAGCAUGCUUGUUUGAGUAUCAGUAAACACCUCAACCUCCUCUUGUUUUUUCAAAAGGAGGGUGGACUUGAGCUAUCCCAACAACCUUCACCGGUAGGCGGGCGGCUUGAAAUGCAGGUGCAGCUGGACUUUUAUCUGAGCUAAAAGCAUAUCUAUUUAGUCCUCGUCAAACAGGAUUAUUACUAUUGCUGCAGCUAACAUAAAGGAUAAUUGUCCUCAUUGCUGACUGAUGCAGGAUUUUACGACACUUUAUGUGUUGUUCAACUCGAUCUCAAAUCAAGUAAGACUACCCGCUGAACUUAAGCAUAUCAAUAAGCGGA